rnacentral:rRNA from 1 species
UGGUGGAGUGAUUUGUCUGGUUAAUUCCGUUAACGAACGAGACCUCGACCUGCUAACUAGUUUAACAAAGGAUAAUUUAUUCUUUGCAUAUUAGACUUCUUAGAGGGACUAUCGGUGUGUAGCCGACGGAAGUUCGAGGCAAUAACA